rnacentral:tRNA from 1 species
GCCAGUGUAGCUCAGUGGUAGAGCAGCUGAUUCGUAAUCAGCAGGUCGUCGGUUCAAGUCCGACCCCUGGCU